rnacentral:rRNA from 1 species
AGAGUUUGAUUCUGGCUCAGGAUGAACGCUGGCGGUAUGCUUAACACAUGCAAGUCGAACGGUCUUUUCGGAGAUAGUGGCGGACGGGUGAGUAACGUGUGAGAAUCUAGCUUUAGGUUCGGGACAACCAUUGGAAACGGUGGCUAAUACCGGAUGUGCCGAGAGGUAAAAGGCUUGCUGCCUAGAGAUGAGCUCGCGUCUGAUUAGCUAGUUGGUAGUGUAAGGGACUACCAAGGCGACGAUCAGUAGCUGGUCUGAGAGGAUGAUCAGCCACACUGGGACUGAGACACGGCCCAGACUCCUACGGGAGGCAGCAGUGGGGAAUUUUCCGCAAUGGGCGAAAGCCUGACGGAGCAAUACCGCGUGAGGGAGGAAGGCUCUUGGGUUGUAAACCUCUUUUCUCAAGGAAUAAGAAAGUGAAGGUACUUGAGGAAUAAGCAUCGGCUAACUCCGUGCCAGCAGCCGCGGUAAUACGGAGGAUGCAAGCGUUAUCCGGAAUGAUUGGGCGUAAAGCGUCCGCAGGUGGUGAUGAAAGUCUGCUGUCAAAGAAUCAGGCUUAACCUGAUCAAGGCAGUGGAAACUACAUGACUAGAGUGCGUUCGGGGCAGAAGGAAUUCCUGGUGUAGCGGUGAAAUGCGUAGAUAUCAGGAAGAACACCGGUGGCGGAAGCGUUCUGCUAGGCCGUAACUGACACUGAGGGACGAAAGCUAGGGGAGCGAAUGGGAUUAGAUACCCCAGUAGUCCUAGCCGUAAACGAUGGAUACUAGGCGUUGCUUGUAUCGACCCGAGCAGUGCCGUAGCUAACGCGUUAAGUAUCCCGCCUGGGGAGUACGCACGCAAGUGUGAAACUCAAAGGAAUUGACGG